rnacentral:snoRNA from 1 species
UAGAUUGAUGAUCUCACAGACUAGGGUCUAUGAGAUUAGGAACCAUUAUUCCUA